rnacentral:misc_RNA from 1 species
CAUAAAGAACAAUCUAAGGGACAAAGAAGUAAACUCCCAAGUUCUAUUAAUUUUUUUGACAAAAAAAAAGGUUCUAUUAAUUUGCAAUAUUCAAUAUCAAUAAAUAAUAAGCUCUACUAAAAUACCUAGAUGAUAUAGGUAUUUAUAGUAUAAUAAAUAGUCCUACUAGUACUACGAUUAGAAAUCCUAAAAUAAGAAAAUACUAAACCAACACUAAGAAUACUAAAUCGAGUCAAACUUCUUAAAUAAAAUACUUCCUAAAUUUAUUCCAUACCUAAAAUCCCUUGUAGAAUGUCCUGCAACAUGUAGUUAGCUUGCUUCAAAAAGUUCAAUUGUGUUUCAAACGAGCUUUUAUACAUAGAAAUUAUCCAUUAUUAUCUAUAUAGAUGGAUGAUUUCAUCCUUUCGAUUGUUGUAGCAACUUUUUUAUGGAUGUGCAAGUUGUUGUAGAUUAUGUUGAUUCUCUUAUAGUUUCUCUGCAUGUAUGGCUAGGUACACUGUUCAUAUGGUUUAACUUAGGUUUCCUUAUAAUAAUUUUAAAAAAAAGGCUGAAAACAAAGAAACAAGGACUAUUAUUUACUGGAGCAGUAUCAUAAUGUUUAAUUUAGGAGUAGUUAUUAAUUUAACCUAAAAUAGAUAUUGUAGUUGUGCCAAGCAUGAAGCAAGGAAUAGUAUAUGAUUGUGUGAAUUGUUUAGAUUUGUAAUGUUCAUUUGUAUUGAAAAAUUUUAAUUUCUAAUGUAAUAUAAUUUUUGAAGAGUUUGAAAAUGCCUUUUGUGGAACAUUUGAUCAUGGUUCAGGGCAUUGCCUAAGCCAAACUUCUAUAUUUUGUGCUUCUUACUGAUUUUUUUCCCCCUAUUUGGCAGAGCUAAUGCCCAACAACCAAAACUCUUUGUUGGAAUGAUUCUGAUCCUCAUUUUUGCUGAAGCAUUG